CUUUAUUCCAGUGAGAAAACCCUCUUCGUUUUCCCAUGUCACUCAUUAUCAAGUAUCAGGUUUGGGUGAUCUAGAAAUAACAAUGAUUUUCUUCAUAUCUCCUUUGUAUGCUGGGGUGUUUUUAGUGCAAUUCACAGAUGCUUGUCCUUCCAUUUUUAAGUAUAAAGUGUUGAAAUCUGGAUGAAUAAAAUGUGUAGUUAUCUGGGUAUGUAAUGACAUGUAAUUGUUGC